GGAAAAUCCAAACGUUAUCGUCACUCGUCUACAACCAUUUGCCGGUGUCGGAAGGCAAAAGGAAACGUGAUCGCGUAUACCGUUUAGUGAAAUUUCCCAACUUGCCACAAAAGGCGAAGAAAAGUGUGCCGGAUCACUUUCAAGUGUCCGGGCUUCGAAAGAUUUGCAUCGUCUGCGGGUGGAAACCACGGAAAAAGGCAGCACACACGUGCAUUCCACGGAUCACGGAAGUACGACGAGAGUGAGACUUUCCAUUCGCCCGGAGGAACGAACCGCGCUGACCGGUGGCGAGAGGAACAAAUACGCCGCGAUAAAAUAAGUCGUGUACGGCAUCACACCUUGGCGCCACCACUCAAAGAGCACACAUCCGGAGCAAGCACGAACCCCGCAGGGGUUCUUUUAAAGACUCGGUUUUUUCAUCGGCCAACACAAAGGCGUGGCCCAGCAACCACAUUGGUCAACACGGAAAUCCGGAUCAGGUGUUAUUCGGUUCCACAGCAGGAACGAAGCAGUUGCGGCGUAGCGAGCGGCGAAAGGUGUGUGGAAGACUCGACGGAAGGAGGUGCCUCGGAGGGACCCCAUCCAGCUACCCGGUCGCACUGGACGGCCAGAGGGGUCUCCAGCAGAGGCAUUGACGUGGCGGGUCGGAAGCAGAUCGGGAGUGACGUGCGUGGGAUGGUAAUGCGACAGACGAGUUGCCGCGGCGGUAACAGGACCGCCAAGAAGCUGGUGCAGGGGGACGCCCCGAAGACCGUGAGUAACACAGUAUGUGCUUUGUGAGAUAGGAAGAUAGAGAAAGAAGAAGGCAGAGAGAAAGGAGGAGAAGAGGGAUGAAUAGGAGGUAGGAAGUAACAGAGGAAAAUGGGUGCAUUACCCUAAAUACAUGUAUUAAAUUGA